rnacentral:rRNA from 1 species
GUGGCGAACGGGUGAGUAACACGUGAGCAACCUGCCCUGGACUCUGGGAUAAGCGCUGGAAACGGCGUCUAAUACUGGAUAUGAGACGUGAUCGCAUGGUCGUGUUUGGAAAGAUUUUUCGGUCUGGGAUGGGCUCGCGGCCUAUCAGCUUGUUGGUGAGGUAAUGGCUCACCAAGGCGUCGACGGGUAGCCGGCCUGAGAGGGUGACCGGCCACACUGGGACUGAGACACGGCCCAGACUCCUACGGGAGGCAGCAGUGGGGAAUAUUGCACAAUGGGCGGAAGCCUGAUGCAGCAACGCCGCGUGAGGGAUGACGGCCUUCGGGUUGUAAACCUCUUUUAGCAGGGAAGAAGCGAAAGUGACGGUACCUGCAGAAAAAGCGCCGGCUAACUACGUGCCAGCAGCCGCGGUAAUACGUAGGGCGCAAGCGUUAUCCGGAAUUAUUGGGCGUAAAGAGCUCGUAGGCGGUUUGUCGCGUCUGCUGUGAAAUCCCGAGGCUCAACCUCGGGCCUGCAGUGGGUACGGGCAGACUAGAGUGCGGUAGGGGAGAUUGGAAUUCCUGGUGUAGCGGUGGAAUGCGCAGAUAUCAGGAGGAACACCGAUGGCGAAGGCAGAUCUCUGGGCCGUAACUGACGCUGA